GAUGAACGCUGGCGGCGUGCCUAAUACAUGCAAGUCGAGCGAACAGACGAGGAGCUUGCUCCUCUGACGUUAGCGGCGGACGGGUGAGUAACACGUGGAUAACCUACCUAUAAGACUGGGAUAACUUCGGGAAACCGGAGCUAAUACCGGAUAAUAUAUUGAACCGCAUGGUUCAAUAGUGAAAGACGGUUUUGCUGUCACUUAUAGAUGGAUCCGCGCCGCAUUAGCUAGUUGGUAAGGUAACGGCUUACCAAGGCAACGAUGCGUAGCCGACCUGAGAGGGGGAUCGGCCACACGGGAACUGAGACACGGUCCGGACUCCUACGGGAGGCAGCAGUAGGGAAUCUUCCGCAAGGGGCGAAAGCCUGACGGAGCAACGCCGCGUGAGUGAUGAAGGUCUUCGGAUCGUAAAACUCUGUUAUUAGGGAAGAACAAAUGUGUAAGUAACUAUGCACGUCUUGACGGUACCUAAUCAGAAAGCCACGGCUAACUACGU
rnacentral:rRNA from 1 species